AGAGUUUGAUCCUGGCUCAGAUUGAACGCUGGCGGCAUGCCUAACACAUGCAAGUCGAACGGCAGCACAGUGUGUAGCAAUACACAUGGGUGGCGAGUGGCGGACGGGUGAGUAAUGCUUAGGAAUCUGCCCAAUGGUGGGGGAUAACUAACCGAAAGGUUAGCUAAUACCGCAUACGCCUUUACGGGGAAAGCGGGGGAUCGAAAGACCUCGCGCCGAUGGAUGAGCCUAAGUCCGAUUAGCUAGUUGGUAGGGUAAUGGCCUACCAAGGCGACGAUCGGUAGCUGGUCUGAGAGGACGGCCAGCCACACUGGAACUGAGACACGGUCCAGACUCCUACGGGAGGCAGCAGUGGGGAAUAUUGGACAAUGGGGGAAACCCUGAUCCAGCAAUGCCGCGUGUGUGAAGAAGGCCUGCGGGUUGUAAAGCACUUUCGGUUGGGAAGAAAAGUUUGGCGCUAAUACCGCCGAACCUUGACGUUACUGACAGAAGAAGCACCGGCUAACUCUGUGCCAGCAGCCGCGGUAAUACAGAGGGUGCAAGCGUUAAUCGGAAUCACUGGGCGUAAAGCGUGCGUAGGUGGUCAUGCAAGUCGGGUGUGAAAUCCCCGGGCUUAACCUGGGAACUGCAUUCGAUACUACAUGGCUAGAGUAUGGUAGAGGGAAGUGGAAUUUCCGGUGUAGCGGUGAAAUGCGUAGAUAUCGGAAGGAACACCAAUGGCGAAGGCAGCUUCCUGGACUAAUACUGACACUGAGGCACGAAAGCGUGGGUAGCAAACAGGAUUAGAUACCCUGGUAGUCCACGCCCUAAACGAUGAGAACUAGCCGUUGGGGGAAUUAAAUCUCCUAGUGGCGCAGCUAACGCGUUAAGUUCUCCGCCUGGGGAGUACGGCCGCAAGGUUAAAACUCAAAGGAAUUGACGGGGGCCCGCACAAGCGGUGGAGUAUGUGGUUUAAUUCGAUGCAACGCGAAAAACCUUACCUGGCCUUGACAUCUGUCGAAUCCUGCAGAGAUGCGGGAGUGCCUUCGGGAACGACAAGACAGGUGCUGCAUGGCUGUCGUCAGCUCGUGUCGUGAGAUGUUGGGUUAAGUCCCGCAACGAGCGCAACCCUUGUCCUUAGUUGCCAUCAUUCAGUUGGGAACUCUAAGGAGACCGCCGGUGACAAACCGGAGGAAGGUGGGGAUGACGUCAAGUCAUCAUGGCCCUUAUGGCCAGGGCUACACACGUACUACAAUGGUCGGUACAGAGGGUUGCCAACCCGCGAGGGGGAGCUAAUCCCGUAAAACCGGUCGUAGUCCAGAUUGGAGUCUGCAACUCGACUCCAUGAAGUCGGAAUCGCUAGUAAUCGUGGAUCAGCAUGCCACGGUGAAUACGUUCCCGGGCCUUGUACACACCGCCCGUCACACCAUGGGAGUGGGUUGUACCAGAAGUAGGUAGCCUAACCGCAAGGAGGGCGCUUACCACGGUAUGGCUCAUGACUGGGGUGAAGUCGUAACAAGGUAAC
rnacentral:rRNA from 1 species